AUGACAUACCCUAAUACCUGUUGUCAUUUUCAGGGUUCCCCUGGUCGUUUUGGUCAAGACGGACUGAUUGGUUUUGCAGGAAUAAAGGGAGAAAAAGGUGAUCAAGGUAUACAGGGACCAGUUGGAAGAAAGGGUGAUCCAGGAGUGAUAGGACCACCAGGCCCUAAAGGCCAGGCAGGAGCUAAUGGGGAACCUGGGCAACCAGGGCCUCCUGGACCCCCAGGACCACCGGGCCCAGGUUAUGGGUUUGGAUUCGAGGAUAUGGAAGGAUCAGGAAUCACUGGCUUGUCAAGUGAAUCUCGAAUCCCAGUAUCCAGGGGGCAAAACGGUCCAGCUGGAGAGAUGGGCCUACAGGGACCAAUAGGACCAAAGGUAAAUAAAUGUAGUAAACUGUCUGUUAAUUGGAGUGUUUUUGUACUUAUUUCAAGAAUUCAAUUUGUCACCUCAACUGUAUUCUGGUUCUUUUAUUUUUUAUGGACAUCAGAUCCUCAAACUGUAAAGCUUUCAAGGUGGUAA
rnacentral:lncRNA from 1 species